CCUACGGGAGGCAGCAGUGGGGAAUCUUGCGCAAUGGGCGAAAGCCUGACGCAGCCAUGCCGCGUGAAUGAUGAAGGUCUUAGGAUUGUAAAAUUCUUUCACCGGGGACGCGGUACCCGGAGAAGAAGCCCCGGCUAACUUCGUGCCAGCAGCCGCGGUAAUACGAAGGGGGCUAGCGUUGCUCGGAAUUACUGGGCGUAAAGGGAGCGUAGGCGGAUAGUUUAGUCAGAGGUGAAAGCCCAGGGCUCAACCUUGGAAUUGCCUUUGAUACUGGCUAUCUUGAGUACGGAAGAGGUAUGUGGAACUCCGAGUGUAGAGGUGAAAUUCGUAGAUAUUCGGAAGAACACCAGUGGCGAAGGCGACAUACUGGUCCGUACUGACGCUGAGGCUCGAAAGCGUGGGGAGCAAACAGGAUUAGAUACCCUUGUAGUC
rnacentral:rRNA from 1 species